UGUUUUGAAGCAAGAUAUGUGAAAUGCCCUCUUCGAGACUCGAACCUGGGCCUCUCGAAUACACGCCGAGUGUGCUACCGUUACACACGAACACACGAAGACAGCAGAUAGAAAACAGCUUAUAAUCCUCUUUUCCAAUGCUCCAAAAUACAAGAGUAUCCUGGAUACAAGCACCCGCAGAAAUGUUUAGGGGACUAUCUGGAAGCAGAUCUAAUGAACGGUUGAAGUGCAGCAGUUAUGUGCUAGAGGAAGGACACAGACAGGCCGAGAAAACUUGUUUUUUAUACUCAGUACAGCAGAAAACAAGAAAUAAGAGCAAAAACAGACAACGGACGUCGUCAAAGAAGGUGUUCGAAAUCGUGAUGCAGGAACAGUGUGUCAUUCAUCUUCCAUUCGUUAUACAGAUCUUCCAUGCGGAGAUGUAAGGCCUGCAUCGUGGUUUACGUUCUUUCUUUGUUCCUGUUCAUUGUCUUUCUUGCGUUUUGUGUCAUCAGUGCUGCGCCAGGAAAGCCUUUUCGACCAUGCAGUGGUAUGAAAUUUUCCAGCGUCUAGGUGUACUUUGUAACCGAUUUGUGCUGAAACACCUUAAGUUUAUUGUCAAUCCACAUUUGGUUCGUUACAUUUCUGGACAUGGCCCAUUGCCUGCUUACUUCGCAAAGCAUGGCAUUUCUCAUACUGAUCAUUGCUGCUUAUGCACUAACUGAAAACUCCCACAUCGCAAUUCCACCUUCCAAUAACCAAGCUUCCUGCAAAUUCAUGAUUCGCCAAAAACACCUUGCAGGACCUCUGCCAAACAUAUCUUAUGAAAACUUUAUCAUCGUAAUAUUGAUGUGUUAUCAAAUCAAGUGCUGGAUGUUCAAGCAUAACACAGCUGUACUACAUCUCCUUCAUUUUAAAAUUUUACAAAUAUUCUAACAGAUUUCAUGGAAUCUACCAAUCAUUUGAACCUUUCAUGAGAUACUAUUUUACUUUCUAUAUUUACCACCAAUUACGAACUCUUGUAUUUUGUUAGGAGCUUUUUAAGCGUUUACAAUUAUGAACUAGUAACAUACCACAUACUUUGAUCUACUGACUAAGAGUCAUUCAUUAUCUUUGAAUUAUCCGAACUUUAUUUUACAGAUAAACUCUGAACAGUAUGAUAAACUGCAGUUUAUUUAAACAUUAGAACUAUUUAUAUUUUAGAAAAUUCGAUUUUUUUUAUAUAUCUAAACUAUCUGAACUCUUUAUUAGAACUACUUGAACUUCGCUUGUGAACUAUUUGAACUAUAUACAUGUACAUUUUGAAAUAUGAACUAUAUUUACGCAUGAACUAUUUGAAUGUAUAUUUGCAAAACCUGUGUAUUUGAAAAUAUUUAAAAUUUUUGUAUUGUAUUCAAAAUUCUGUACAUUUAUUAUUAUGUUAUUUUAUAUCUUAUGCUCCAAAUUUUUCUAUUACAUUCAAUAGUACAUCGUGUAUUAUGUAAUAGUGUCUUGCAUCAUGAAUUCGUGGUGCGUAGCGUAUCUGUAUAUUUUAAAAUAUUUAAAAUUUUUGUAUUCUAUUCAAAAUUCUGUACAUUUAUUAUUAUGUUAUUUUAUAUAUUAUGCUCCAAAUUUUUGUGUUACAUUCAAUAGUACAUCGUGUAUUAUAUAAUAGUGUCUUCUUGCAUCAUGAAUUCGUGGUGCGUAGUGUAUCUUGCAUACGUGUAUUGUAAGUAUCGCUCUGUUUUCAUAUAUUGUGAAUCCUGCAUUAUGUAUAAGUGUCUUCUUACAUAAAAUUGUAGUGAAUAGUGUAUCCUGCAUAAGUGCAUUUUACAGAUAAACUCUGAACAGUAUGAUAAACUGCAGUUUAUUUAAACUUUAGAACUAUUUAUAUUUUAUAAACUUCAAUUUUUUAUAUGUCUGAACACUUUAUUAGAACUACCUGAACUACAGGCUUGUGAACCAUUUGAACUACAUACAUGUACAUUUUGAAAUAUGAACUAUAUUUACGCAUGAACUAUUUCAACUGUAUAUUUGCAAAACCUGUAUAUUUGAAAAUAUUUAAAACUUUUGUAUUCUAUUCAAAUUUCUGUACAUUUAUUAUUAUGUUAUUUUAUAUAUUAUGCUCCAAAUUUUUGUAUUACAUUCAAUAAUACAUCGUGUAUUAUGUAAUAGUGUCUUCUUGCAUCAUGAAUUCGUGGUGCGUAGUGUAUCUUGCAUACGUGUAUUGUAAGUAUCGCUCUGUUUUCAUAUGUUGUGCAUCGUGCAUUAUGUAUGAGUGUCUUCUCACAUCAUAAGAUUGUAGUGCAUAGUGUAUCCUGCAUAAAUGCAUUGUAAAUAUUGCUCUGAAUCCUUAUAUCUUGCAUCGUAUCUUAUGUAUAAGUGUUUUCUUGCAUCCUAAAAUUAUAGCGCACAGUGUCUCCUGCAUGAGUGUAUUAUAGGUAUCGCUCUUUUCAUGUAUAGUAUAUCGUGUAUUGUGUAUACGUGUCUUCUUACAUCCUAUUUUAUAGUGCAUGGUGUACCCUGUAUAAGUGCAUUGUAGGUAUCGCUCUGUAUUCACUAAUAGUGCUUCGUGUAUUAAGUGUUAGUGCUUUCUUAUAUCAAAACUAUUGUGCAUAGUGUGUCACGCAUAUUUGUAUUAUCGUAUCAUCAUAGUACCAACAUAAGUAUCCAUGAAGUGUAUACUACUUAUAGACAUAUAUGGUCGUAUGCAUAUUUAUUGUAACCAUGUCCUUGUAAUUCACCAUGUAGAUCUCUAGCAUUGAGUAGUCAUGUUAAUCUAUGUUACUACCCUCACCGUUAUACCAAUCUCUGUAUUUUCCACUGUACAUAUAUUAUUACCCUUGUAUGUCUAUGUACAUUAUUUCAUGAUGUCAAUAAAUGUUGAGGUCCGGGCGAUUGGAUGGCAGUGAAUUCCCGGGGCGGCGCUUUGGUCAGCUGGACUGCCCUCCGGAUGAAUCAGGCGCUGGGUCUAGGCGCUUCUUGCGAGACGCCCAGGUGGCCUUACGAUCUGGCCUGCUCUAGAUAUGGACGUGGUGCUGUACUGAUUAACCGUUCCGGUAAAGGGUCAGUGCCCACGUCCAGCGUCACUUGUAUAUGUAAUUUCACCGUGUCUGUUAAAUAUUCUUAUUUUUGUGCUGAAUAAUUCUGAAUUGUCAUGCUCAAUGUAUUUACAGUUGUAUCACUUUGUGUAUAAACAGAAUUAUGGCUCGUAUUUACCGAUCCCUGUUUUAAUAUAGUGACUCCCCUCGCUCUUCCCCCGCCUGGCUUAAAAACCACCUCCAAUCAACUCCUUAUAGCAUUAAGCUCUCUAUAGAUACCUCACUCGCCCACCACCGCCCGCUCACAUUCCCUUAAUUAGUCGGGGCUAAUUAAAUUAAUUAAGCGCUUUUCUCUACUCUCCCUUCUUGUACAGUAAUAUAAUAAAGCUCAUUUAGCUUCUUUAACUUUGCUCUUUCAGUUGACACCACUCCCGCUCCCCGCCGACCUUUAGUUCUCAUUAUUUAAUUUUUCCUCCUCAAACUAAUUAGGCGUCUAUCUCCUCUCCGCCCAGCCAAGUAACCAACUCCCGUAAACUUCUCUAUACCCAACCUAUUAUUUACCACCACCCCCAUUCCUCGCCCGACCUUAGCUUCCAUUAAUUAAACCCCGUUCAUUAAAUUAAUUUAGCUUAUUUCUUACCUCCCCCGAGCCCAGCCACUUAACUGCUUCUGGUCAAUCUUUCUUCAGCCCCACUACAAGCCAACACGGCUCCCGCUGCCACCUAUUUUUUAAUAAUUAGCUUCUCCUCAUUAAUUUAACCGCUCCCACCGCCACAUAUUUUUACUAAUUAGCUUCUCCUCAUUCAUUUAACCGUUCCCGCCGCCACCUAUUUUUUACUAAUUAGCUCUUCCUCGUUAAUUUACUCUAGCCUCUUUCUCCUGCCCUCAACCACCUCCUGCAACCUUUCUCCUGCACACAACCACCUUCACUUAACUUCUUUCUUCCUCCCCUUCAGACAGACAUCACUCCUGCCCCCCCCGUCGACCCAUAGUUUCCUUUAAUUAACGACUGCUCCUUUUAACUAAUUAAGCCUCCCCCCCCGGAACAGGCCAACCUCGGUUCCACCUCUUAACAAAUUCUUGUAAACCCCCUUUAACUUUCGCCACCACUUCCGUCCUUCUCCGCCCUUAUUUUACAUAUGUAAUUGCUUAAAUGUGGCAUACGUUUAUUGUUUAGCGUAUAUUGUAAUGUACGUGUAAUUAUAAUAUAUUUAUAAUGUAAGAGUAUUGUAAUGUAUGUGUAAUUGCAAAAUAACUGUAAUGUGUGUGUAAUUGUAACUAUGUAUCAUGUACCUGGGACGUUACCUGAACUUUAUAACCCUCCUGCAUACUUUGGUCACCUGAAUAAUCACUACGCUUAAAUAUGGCAUACGUUUAUUGUAUAGCGUAUAUCGUAAUAUAUGUGUAAUUCUAAUGUAUUUAUAAUGUAAGAGUAUUGUAAUGCAUGCAUAACUGCAAAGUACUGUAAUGUAUGCGUAAUUACAAAGUAACUGUAAUGUGUGUGUAAUUGUAAGCACGUAACGUGAUUAUAACGUUUCCUGUACUGUAAACCAUCCUGCAUACCCUGGUCAUCAGCAUAAUCACUAUGUUUAAAUAUGGCAUACAUCUGC